GGAGGGUGAGCUUAGUGGUAAAGUUUCUGCUUAGCAUGCCCAAGGUCCUGGGUUCAAUCUCCAGGUCCACCA
rnacentral:tRNA from 1 species